AAUUAAUGAACUUGAAUAAGUAUAUGCUUUGAAAGCAUAAUAAAGAAGUAAAAUCUUCUAUUAAUUU
rnacentral:tRNA from 1 species